rnacentral:rRNA from 1 species
GAUGAACGCUGACAGAAUGCUUAACACAUGCAAGUCUACUUGAACUUCGGUUUGGGUGGCGGACGGGUGAGUAACGCGUAAAGAACUUGCCUCACAGAUAGGGACAACAUUUGGAAACGAAUGCUAAUACCUGAUAUUAUGAUUUUAGGGCAUCCUAGAAUUAUGAAAGCUAUAUGCACUGUGAGAGAGCUUUGCGUCCCAUUAGCUAGUUGGAGAGGUAACGGCUCACCAAGGCGAUGAUGGGUAGCCGGCCUGAGAGGGUAAUCGGCCACAAGGGGACUGAGACACGGCCCUUACUCCUACGGGAGGCAGCAGUGGGGAAUAUUGGACAAUGGACCAAGAGUCCGAUCCAGCAAUUCUGUGUGCACGAUGAAGUUUUUCGGAAUGUAAAGUGCUUUCAGUUGGGAAGAAAAAAAUGACGGUACCAACAGAAGAAGUGACGGCUAAAUACGUGCCAGCAGCCGCGGUAAUACGUAUGUCACAAGCGUUAUCCGGAUUUAUUGGGCGUAAAGCGCGUCUAGGUGGUUAUGUAAGUCUGAUGUGAAAAUGCAGGGCUCAACUCUGUAUUGCGUUGGAAACUGUGUAACUAGAGUACUGGAGAGGUAAGCGGAACUACAAGUGUAGAGGUGAAAUUUGUAGAUAUUUGUAGGAAUGCCGAUGGGGAAGCCAGCUUACUGGACAGAUACUGACGCUGAAGCGCGAAAGCGUGGGUAGCAAACAGG